AAUCUGGAAACCUCGCCGCUUACCGCUGCCGCUGCCGUUCUGCAAUCGGGCUGUGGUUUAUAAAUAGACCGUAUUUCUUGCCAUAUCAUUAUCUCCAUGGUAGCUCCUUCCUCCUGUCGUAAUGGCCCGCGGCGUUCGGGUCGGCCUCCUCGGUCGCGGGGGGCUGUGGUUGGCCGGCGUGGUGGCCGUUCUGCUACGUCUGCCCGUGGUGUCCGCUCAAGCCGUAUGUAUGGAGCAUGCUCCGCCGUCUGAUGAUCGGCCGUUGUGUUGGGGUGGCCGCUCUGUACAGCCUUCCGGUUCUGGAUGAGCGGCAGAUUUUGUGGCGCAAUCUGGGUCUUGUUCUCUGUCAUCGGACUCUGCUGUUGGUGGUUCUUGUGGGUAGCGGAGGGAGGAGAUUCGGUUGGGAAAGCGGGCCUGUUGAUCCCACUCUCAAUCGACGACGAACAACAGAGAAGCGAACCGGCGAAGCAAGCAGCACAUCGGGGGGAGGUGGUCACUUGCAAGUCAACCGCGCGACGGGUGAGCAGAGCGGCUCGCACCCGCGCCAAGGAAAAAGGAGGGGGCCGGAAGAUGGGGGGACGAGGCGCUCUGCUACAUCCGCGGCCAGAGAUCACGAGGGAGCAGGAGCAAAUCGGUGAUGGAAAUCAUGAGCACGGAAACGCAAAUCACACGGCCAAGCAAAACACACGAGGAUGGCUAGCUGCUACCAUCCACGGGAUGAGAGCAAUGGGUUUGAGAGAUGCAGCAUACUCAAGGCCGAGAAGGGAUUUUCACGAAAGGCGUAAAUGUUCAUUUUAAUCUAUGUUUUGCAUCAGGGUCUUCAGAAUGUAGGCAAGAUUUUAGAGAAGUUGUUUUUGUAGGCAACACAAGGAGAUAUAAGUAGGCAAAAAUCCCACAGAAUAAUUCAGCAUCUGUGUGUUUCAGUAGGUGUUCCUUUUUGCGAGCCGGAUAGGGCUCCAGGUUGUACACUGUGCGUGCUUCCUGUUAGAAGAUACCGGCUCUAUUAUUUGGGAUUCACUAGCUAAAAUUGUUGGCGACUAUAUUUAGACUAGACUUUAGCUAGCCCUUCAUCUAUUGAGUGUAGGAGCGGUGAAUCAAAGCAAGUUAAUUAGUCUACUCUAGAUGUGCGAAAGAAACAUAAUGACUUUGUGAAGCAGAAAUAUGCACUUCAAAGUGAAAGGAGGAUCAAUCCCUAUUCAUAUACUUCAGAGUCGUUCCGUGAUUGUACUUUCUGCGUAUUAUAUGGCCGUGGUGCGCAAUAUUGAAUUUUGCUCCCUGUUUGCAAAUGCUCUUUAGGAGGCCGAACUAAUUAAGCAAGGAAUUGCAUUGGUAAUGUUUUCCCCUACCCCAAACUUGAUUAGUUCAGCACCAGCUCUUUUUGUUUACUUGAUAUAUAUGGUGCAAUUUCCAAAAGGUUUUUUAACCCGCAAUUAUUUUCAUUUAUAGAUGAUGAUUUCUUUAGAAGGGUUCCUAACUGAAUGUUGUACCCUCAACCGUGGCAAGCAAAAUUUUCAUGCAAUCAGCAUCACAAACAUUCAGUGGUAGUUAAUAGUCUAUAUCCUUGGUCACUCUCCAAACUUUACUAUUUCUCUCAAGAUUAAACCUAAUAUGACCAUAGCUAACAAAGAAGCUCUAAGUAGCGAGGAUCUGAGUUUUAAUAUAGCUGUUGCUAAUAUAUGAGAAGAAUGUGAGUACAGAAGAUCAUAAACUGAUCCAGUAAAGUAAUACUAUUAGUUUUAGGAUAUAUAUAUCUUCUCACGUUCUUCAAGUAGUCAGUUGUUAACUAUAUUUGUAAUAUAGUUAGAUUUGUUUCAUUACAUCGGAAGUCAUGCCAUAAAAUAUAUUCAAACUUCUCUCCUGAUUCAAGUCGCUGCCAUGCUGUUAUAUAUUUCUUUUCUUCAUUAUGAUUAUAUUAUAGAUGGCUUUCUUAGCAUUGAUAAAUUCACUGAUGUAAACACUUCUAUUUUGAUUCAGCAAAAUCUGGUAUUGAUUUUUAUGGUGGCUUUCAGUAAGUAACUCUUUACAAUUUCAAUCCUUUUUAUCAUUGGUUGAGUGCAGGCUAAUGCAAACCCAUUAGCUACAAUUCUUAGUAAUGCCAACACCUACGC